rnacentral:rRNA from 1 species
GCCGGGCGGGUCCUAAUUCUAUUUCGAAAGUCCCCCGCUCACCCGCCGAGGGUCAUUUGUAAAUUGGUAAAUUGACUCCGGAGGGGGGGAGGGGACUUCCACCUCGCACUCGUUAACUUUCUUUUCGAUUUGGACGAAAAACAAGCGGCGAAGGGGAAUUUUUUGUUUUGUCACUGACGUUGCGGAGUGAAAGAGUGGGGGAGGGACCAGGAUAAGAUACCUUGCUAGUCCACGCCGUACAACGAUGAGUGUUAAGUGUUAGGGGGUUUCUGCCCCUUAUUGUUGCAGCUAACGCAUUAAGCACUCAGCUUGGGGAGUACGGUCGCAAGACUGAAACUCAAAAGAAUUGACGGGGGCCCGCACAAGCGGUGGAGCAUGUGGUUUAAUUUGAAGCAACGCGAAGAACCUUACCAGGUCUUGACAUCCUCUGACAACCCUAGAGAUAGGGCUUUCCCUUCGGGGACAGAGUGACAGGUGGUGCAUGGUCGUGGUCAGCUCGUGUCGUGAGAUGUUGGGUUAAGUCCCGCAACGAGCGCAACCCUUGAUCUUAGUUGCCAGCAUUUAGUUGGGCACUCUAAGGUGACUGCCGGUGACAAACCGGAGGAAGGUGGGGAUGACGUCAAAUCAUCAUGCCCCUUAUGACCUGGGCUACACACGUGCUACAAUGGACAGAACAAAGGGCUGCGAGACCGCAAGGUUUAGCCAAUCCCAUAAAUCUGUUCUCAGUUCGGAUCGCAGUAGCAACUAAGAAAAAAGAAGCAGGAAUCGAUAGUAAUCGAGGAUCAGCAUGCCGCGGUGAAUACGUUACCGGGCAAGUACACACAGCAAAUCGCACCACGAGACUGAAACGUAAACCUUCCCCUUUUUUUUUUUU